rnacentral:rRNA from 1 species
AAACUUUCAACAACGGAUCUCUUGGUUCUGGCAUCGAUGAAGAACGCAGCGAAAUGCGAUAAGUAAUGCGAAUUGCAGACACCGUGAGUCAUCGAAUCUUUGAACGCACAUUGCGCCCUUUGGUAUUCCGAAGGGCAUACCUGUUCGAGCGUCAUUA